CCAUAAAAUAAUUAAGAAAAUUAGUCUGAAGUUUUUAUUUAUCCUACAAAGUCUUUUCCAGGCUAGUAGUUCACAAUUAACAGACUCAGCAACAACCCAUGAGAUCCCCAAGAGACCCAGAACCAUAGUCCAGAGCUUGUGAGAGACAGGACACCAUAGGAGCAAAUGAUUGUAGGACUCUGAGCAGCUUUUAUAAAAGAAACAUCUGUUAGCAGUGAUUAAAUCUUUUCUCAUAAGAUUAUUGUCAGAAAACCCCUUGGGAUUUAUUGCAGAAAAAAUGGCAAAAAAAGAAAUAUGCACACAAAAGGGCAGAACAGGAAAAAUGAAGAAUUGGAAUUAGGGUUGGUCAACCCUAACAAGACUCCACAAUCGAUGCCUCUGCUUUCCAAAUCCAUUUCGUAGACGAAGCCGAUCAUCAUCAUAAUGCGAUUCCGGUCGCAAAACUCCAACAAGCUUGAUUCUACCUUGAAUAAUGAAUUUAUUUAAUGUAUUUAGGCCUAUAAAAAAGGUCCAUUUCAUCGAUUGUAAGGAUAUCAGAAAUUAAUAAAAAAGUCUUCUAUUUCCCCCCUUAUUUGUUCUUCAUCUUCUCUGUUUUCUUUUUCUUCUUUUUCAUUAAACUUUCCCAAGAUUAGAGUCAUCUCUAAGACUUCUGACAAGAUGGCAUUAGAGCCAAAACCGGCCAAAUCAUACGCCGGUAUCGCCACCUAAACACGGUCGAAGGGGAACGCCUCGAUGACCGAACCAGAAAAUCCCGAAUCACUUACCAUAAAAGAAGUCGAUUUAAAGCUAUCAACAUUCAUGGAUGAAUCACGCAGACAAUUCAGCGUGAUACUUGAGCUGCUCCGAGGCGGAACCGCCGACCAAGCCGAAGGAAACUCAAAGCGAUAGGAAGCCGAGACCCAUUCGGGUGGAGCCCUUUUUCCUUUCCCGUAAGGCAUAGAUGUAAGAAAACAAGGGCUCGGAGUCUCUUUUGUUGCCAGUCCCGCUACCUUGAUCCGAAACCAAUUGUACAGGGGAUCGGAUCACGACGAACUCGACUGAACCAACUCGAAUCACUCUGUUCCGAUCCGGUCCGAACCGGCCAGGUCUGACCCAACCUGACCAAGAACAGGUCCGAACCGGAUUACCCAGAAAUCACCCAUUUGAGCUGCUGGAUCGCAUUAGACCACUCGCAAUCCACACCAAACCAGUCUGCCUCCCAUUUACGCACUUCUUAAGGUGGAAAUUCCACUUUUUGAAGUAGG
rnacentral:lncRNA from 1 species